UUUUUUUUUUUUUUUUUUUAAUUCAGAUUAGUCCUCUACUAAUAAGAUUCCUUUUCUAAAAUUGUAUGCAAGAUCUGAAAUUGAAGUUUAUGGUCAAUUUCAAGUUUCCAAGUUCAAUUCAACAAUAUUUAUUGCAUCUCCGAUUCACUAAGAACUGCAGGGGAUAAGCAGAUGUGAUAAGAUGGUCUGUGCCCUCAAGGAGUUUCAAAUUUAGUAGUGGGAAUAAGACAAAUACGGUGUAAUUACAACUACAAGGAAGAAAGUGAUUCAAAUGCAUGGUCAAGGUGAAGAACCAUUGCCAAAGAGCAUCCAAGAAAUGUCCAAGAGACACUUUGGAUUCUUUGGGAUCAGAAAAGGCUGAAUUCGAGGCAGCAUUGCAAAGUGGGUGUGAUUCCAGUAGACAAAAGAAUUUGGGAGUGAGAGGAGGUGCUUGAGAGGAGGGAGAGAGAGAAAAGCCACAGAGGUGUGAAGCUGCGGGGUGGAUAUUUAAAAUUCAUGAGCAGACCAUCUCCAUGUGAGCUGGAGUAUGGAGUGUCCUGGAGAAGACAAAGGUAGGAAGCAGAUUGAGAAAUGCUGAGGUGGGGUAAGGUAUGAAGAACCCCGAGCUGGAGGCAGGAUCUGGUUCCAUUUGAAUGGUUCUGUGUUUAGCUGGGCCUGGAGAUCUCUGGGGUUUCAGUCUACUUCGAUUGGGAGGAGUCAAGCAGAAAACAAGAACAGGAGCUUAUUAUAGGACAAGAGUAAGUUCAACACCUGAUGAAAUUGCCAUAUUAUCAUCCCCUUGGAGAUAAUUCCGUUAAGCUCCUUUGUUUUCCAGUUGAGGAGGCCUAAAGGAACUGCCCUAUGAUGGUUAUGUGCCCAGUUAGUGGGCUGCUGCCACUCUCAGGUCAGCAGGGCAUCCAGGUGGGGAUGUCCAGCAGGCAGUUUACAAGCAGGUCUGAGGCUGAGGAGCCAGGUCAGGAAAAGACAUGCAAUUCUGAGCAUAAUUUUCAGUAAAGUAAUUAGGGCUUGAGGGCAGGGAGGAAUAUGGAAGGAAAAGGGAGAGUGAUAUUUAGAUGAAAAGAGGGGAAUGUGAAGCCAACAAAAGGGGCAUAGAAUUAGCAUCAGGGAAAUAGGAGAAUCAGAAGAAUUCAGUGAUGCAGACACAGAGGAGAGUCCCACGGAGGAGGGGUCCACCUGCAGAAUGCUCCCUCUCCUGGGGCGGGCUGAGUGUGAAGCCUGAGGAGAGACCCCCGGAGUGUGGCUCUUCUGUAACCUGUGCCUCCUCCUCUUGCUGAUGCAGUAGUGGCGCAGUGGCGGUGCAUCACGAAUGAAUGGCGAGCUCUCCCCCUGAGCUGGGCAGUGCUCUAGGUCUGGCUUUAUAGUCCCUGUUCAUCCAUCAACACAGAAAAUAAUCGCAGUGGAAAGCAGAUAAGACUGGUUUGCUUUCUGAAGAGGAGGAAAAAAAAAGCUUCCAAUUCUAAAAUUUCAAGUGAGACUAAUGAAAAGAAAUAACAUUCCAUAAUAUGACCUUGAAAAAAUAAAAUCAGUAGCUUUAAAUAAGGCCAUAAGUAGUAAUCUUUCCAUUUGUUUAAUCUGAGUCAUUUACAAAUAAAUAACAAUAGUGAUAUUGAGGAUAGUGAGGUGUAAGCAGUAUGUAGAUUAUACCUAUCGUUUUUGAUAUUACAGAUGGGGAAAGGGGAUGAAUGAGGUGUUGUGGGCAGGGUGGGUGGUGGUGGUGGUGGUGGUGGGUGGCGAAGGAGAACACUCUGUAUUUUCCAUUUGGGUAGUGGAGACAGUAUGCUUUAGCUGUUUAGUGGCUCUGCUCAGCAGUAAGAAUACCCAAAAGCAUCACACCUUCCAGAAACCCCCUUGGCUGCCCAGAAAGAGAGAGUUAAUGAACAGGGACAGACGCUACCAACAAAAGAAGAAAUGCUUUAUUUAUUAUUCACUAAUCUCCGGGUCCCUGUGCUACUCAGAAUUAACAAGCUCUCUGGAAUAAAGGUUUAACACCUUCUGGUUUGACAUGGCUGUGCUUCCCCAAGUGAGCACAGUGCCCAGGCCCUCCUGGCCUGCAGAAAGAAGAAUGGAGCCCCCUACUCUUCCAGGCUAUGGAGGUCAUCAGGUACCACCCCCAACCCAAUGUAGGAACUAGCUCACCCCAUUCCUGACAAGAGUUGCCUUGUCUCCCAUGUUGGUAGUGAUGGAGGCUCAUCACCUAAUAAGGUAGCCCCGUUCUGUGAUCUGAUUUUAGGACCUUUGGCAAGUUUUUCCAUGCGUUGAAUUUUCCUUUCUACAGCAUCUAUCAUACCUGGUCCUAGGUCUUAUUUCUUUUAGAUUCCAUCAUCCUCUUCAAGCUCUUUCUCUGUUGACUAUCGAAUUUGUUUUCUUUUACUGUGGUCA
rnacentral:lncRNA from 1 species